UCCCCUUGGCAAUGGGCAAAGAGACACCUUGUUGGUGAUGCUGUUCUUGUAACAGUCAGGGGCAGAACAGAUGACAGUCUUUUGUUCAUCCUACCUCGAUGCCUGGGUUGAGGACCAAAACUCUUUUAUACCUAGGAGUCAUAA